AUUGAACGCUGGCGGCAGGCCUAACACAUGCAAGUCGAACGGUAAAAGGAAGCUGCUUGCUUCUUUCAUCACCGGACGCGGGCGUGUUGGCUAUGACUGUGCAAGUGCCUGAUGGAUGAGGUCCACUACUGGGAACUGUUACUAAUACCGCCUUGCGGCGCAAGAUCAAAGAGCGUGGCCUCUGAGGCUCUCAGCUGAGCCUGUGCCUAGGUGGGAUUAGCUAGUAGGUGGGGUAAAGGCUCACCAAGGCGACGAUCUCUAGCUGGUCUGAGAGGAUGAUCAGUCACACUGGAACUGAGACACGGUCCAGACUCCUACGGGAGGCAGCAGUGGGGAAUAUUGGACAAUGGGCGAAAGCCUGAUGCAGCCAUGCCGCGUGUAUGAAGAAGGCCUUCGGAUUGUAAAGUACUUUCAGCGGGGAGGAAGGGAAUAAAGUUAAUACCUUGCCUUAUUGACGUUACCCGCAGAAGAAGCACCGGCUAACUUCGUG
rnacentral:rRNA from 1 species